rnacentral:rRNA from 1 species
AUGCAAGUCGAACGGAUCCUUCGGGAUUAGUGGCAGACGGGUGAGUAACGCGUGGGAAGCUACCUUGUGGUAGGGAACAACAGUUGGAAACGACUGCUAAUACCCUAUGAGCCCUAUGGGGGAAAGAUUUAUCGCCAUGAGAUGUGCCCGCGUUAGAUUAGCUAGUUGGUAAGGUAAUGGCUUACCAAGGCGACGAUCUAUAGCUGGUCUGAGAGGAUGAUCAGCCACACUGGGACUGAGACACGGCCCAGACUCCUACGGGAGGCAGCAGUGGGGAAUAUUGGACAAUGGGGGCAACCCUGAUCCAGCCAUGCCGCGUGAGUGAUGACGGCCUUAGGGUUGUAAAGCUCUUUCAGCAGUGAAGAUAAUGACAUUAACUGCAGAAGAAGCCCCGGCUAACUUCGUGCCAGCAGCCGCGGUAAUACGAAAGGGGCUAGCGUUGUUCGGAAUCACUGGGCGUAAAGCGUACGUAGGCGGACUGAUCAGUCAGGGGUGAAAUCCCGGGGCUCAACCCCGGAACUGCCUUUGAUACUGUCAGUCUUGAGAUCGAGAGAGGUGAGUGGAACUCCGAGUGUAGAGGUGAAAUUCGUAGAUAUUCGGAAGACACCAGUGGCGAAGGCGGCUCACUGGCUC